AGGCAGUAGAUGCACCGCAUACUCAGCUUUUUGCGAAGCCGAGUGGUUGUUUAGUUUUGCUCCUGUCUAAUGCUUUGUGGAGAGUUCACUCUUGGGAAGCUCUGGUGCUGGCGGUACGGAGCUUCAGCAGUGGUGGUUCUUCUCAUGUUGAGUGGUUUGCAAUUGUGUCUGAAUACUGCUGCCACAUGGCAGGUCAAGCCGUCGCUCCCCUCCCGGGCCACUACGAGCGACAAAUGUCACAGCGCAGUCCCUGCAAUGUUCACUAUGUUGGUCCAGGAAUGCCACCUCUGGCUGUGUCUGGCCAACAUGAGGGAGACUGAUAAGAUGCGGUUCCUAAAUGCCCCGUGUCCCAGAUCGGCCUCUUCUGCGACGCAGUGGAAAAGCAGACAGCACAGAAGCAGACAGAGUCCAUCAAACACAUCCUGCCCAGGCAUGCAGCUGCUGCCUCCACCCAGCCGCUGGCUGCAGCGCCUCAGUCUUCUUGUAGCCAGUAAGAAGCUGUGGGUGUUUCGAGAGUGCGAUCAAACGUACUACUCAUGCACCCUUUGCCCAAACGCAGGUAAGUGUUGCACACACGCUGACCUUGCUUCGGACCAGCAACAAGAUGCCUGGGCAGGGUCCCUGCAUUCCCCUUCACUGCAUCACCGUGGGUAAGUAGGUGGUUCCAUUGGUGCCACUCGUACGGUAUCUGCGAGCCUGGCUAGCGUUCUACAGUCUGUCUCGUCUUCAGACCAUCAGACUUGGCUAUGCUAUUCAGUUCGCCUGGUGUCCUCCCAAGUUCAGGGGCAUCCACUUUACUUCAGUGAAGGCAGCAGAUGCCCCAGUCUUGCGUCCAGAGAUCACAGUCCUACUGGCAAAAGGAUGCGAUAGAGCGGGUCCCUCCAGCCGAUAUGAAGAUGGGGUUUUACAGCCCUUACUUCAUUGUACCCAAGAAAGGCUGUGGGUUAAGACCAAUCUUGGAUCUGCGUGUCUUGAAAUUUCCCCUACCAGUACAGCAUACCAGUACAAGGUCCUGAACUUUGGGGUGUCCCUGUCACCCCAUGUCUUCACGAAAGUUGCAGAGGUGGCCCAUGUUCCCCUGAGAGAACAGGGCAUUUGCAUUCUCAACUACCUCAGUGACUGGCUCAGUCUCAGUAUCAGUUGUGCAAACACAGGGACUUGGUGCUCUCAACCUCAACCAGCUGGGCCAUCGGGUCAAGUGGGAAAAGAGCAAACUCUCCCCGAUGCAGAGGAUCUCUUUUCUAAGUAUGGAGUUGGAUUAGGUUAAACAGACAGCAUGCCUCACGCAGGAACGUGCUCAGUCGGUGUUGAACUGCCUGAAUAUGUUCAAGAGCAGGACAGUGGUCCCAAUGAAACAGUUUCAGAGGCUCCAGGGGCAUAUGGCAGCUGCAGCAGCAGUCACUCUGCUGGGGCUGCUUCAUGGCAACACACCAUUUACUGGGUCCAAGUCACACUGACCUGCCGGCAAACCUUCACACAGUGGUCAGACCGGGCAGGAGUGCCCUUAUAACAGGUCUCCAGGCAUACUGUGGUUCACACGGAAGCCUCCACCACCGGCUGAGGGGCUACAUUCGACAGGCUUGCAGUCUCAGGGCUUGGACGGACCCCCAACUGCACUGGCACAUCAAUUGCCUAGAGUUGCUGGCAGUACACC
ensembl:lncRNA